AGAGUUUGAUCAUGGCUCAGAUUGAACGCUGGCGGCAUGCCUUACACAUGCAAGUCGAACGGCAGCACGGGGGCAACCCUGGUGGCGAGUGGCGAACGGGUGAGUAAUACAUCGGAACGUGUCCUUUCGUGGGGGAUAACCAGUCGAAAGACUGGCUAAUACCGCAUGAGAUCUCACGAUGAAAGCGAGGGACCGCAAGGCCUCGCGCGAAUGGAGCGGCCGAUGUCGGAUUAGCUAGUUGGCGGGGUAAAAGCCCACCAAGGCGACGAUCCGUAGCUGGUUUGAGAGAACGACCAGCCACACUGGGACUGAGACACGGCCCAGACUCCUACGGGAGGCAGCAGUGGGGAAUUUUGGACAAUGGGCGCAAGCCUGAUCCAGCCAUGCCGCGUGUGUGAAGAAGGCCUUCGGGUUGUAAAGCACUUUCGGCCGGAACGAAAUCGCGCGGGUUAAUAGUCCGCGUGGAUGACGGUACCGGAAGAAGAAGCACCGGCUAACUACGUGCCAGCCGCGGCGGUAAUUC
rnacentral:rRNA from 1 species